GACUCUCGGCUAUGAAUAUCUCAACUCUUGUCAUGAUGAAUAAUGUAGAGAAAUGCAAUACUUAGUGUGAAUUGCAUAAUCCCAUGAAUCAUCAAGUUUUUUAACGCAAUUUGUGCCUGAGGCCUUGGUCGAGGGCACAUCUAUUUGGGCAUCG
rfam:Picea glauca, whole genome shotgun sequence.